AAACCUUCGAAUAGGCUCUCAGAUAUCUUCUCCCCCGGCCGCACCCCUUGCCGUUUCCCCUGGCAGGAGCACGGUUGGCUUUUUUUGUCGCUUUUUUUUUUUUUCCCUUUCCCCUUCUUCUUCUUCUUUUUUUUUUUCUGAAAAGCUUCCGAAACCCGAAUGUUUCUGCAAAGAGUUUAUCAAAUUACAUUUGGGGACAAAGAGCUAAAGUGCAUUUUCUUGAAGGCUUGACAAUUGGGGAGCCAUCAAGGAAAUGAAAAGAAUGACAGAAAACCAAAGGCUUUUGUCGGAGGUGUUGAAGGCCGGACUUUGGGGGAAAGCGAGGAAAAGGCAACCGGUCCGGGGGACUUAACGAAGCCGCGAUUUCACCUCUCUCUCUUUUUCUUUUUUUUUUAACAAGAUGCCAGUGUUUAAAAGAGAAUGAAUCUUUAGAAAUGUGAAGCCCCCGAGAUAAUGACUCCGAUCGCUCUAAGACCGUAUGGGAACAGGUGACAUUUUUUUCCCUUUCUUUCUCCUUCCCAUCCGCCCUUUGUUCGAGAUGAUGCCGAAGAGAGAAAGGAAACGAGAUCGUUCCGAUAUUGGCCUUUUUGUGCCGAUGCGCGCUCUCCAGGAAAAGAAACGCGGCUCGGCCGAAUUCCCAGCUUUAUUAUAGGCGGCGGCUAACGAGACACAAAACCACCCCUCCGCUCCGUUUGUCACGUCUUGGAGAGUGAGCGACGCGGCGGCCGGGUGUGCUGCUGGGGCCCCGCGCACCGGGAUGCUCCGGGAUGCUCCGGGAUGCUCUGGACGGCUCCAGGGUGCUCUGGGAUGCUCCGGGAUGCUCCAGGCAGCUCUGGGAUGCUCUGGAUGGCUCCAGGAUGCUCCAGGCAGCUCUGGGAUGCUCCAGGAUGCUCCCAGAUGCUCCAGGGUGCUCCAGGCAGCUCCGGGAUGCUCUAGGUGGCUCUGGGAUGCUCCAGGAUGCUCCGGGAUGCUCCAGGCAGCUCCAGGAUGCUCUGGGUGGCUCUGGGAUGCUCCAGGAUGCUCCAGGCAGCUCUGGGAUGCUCCAGGAUGCUCCAGGUGGCUCUGGGUGGCUCUGGGAUGCUCCAGACAGCUCUGGGAUGCUCUGGGAUGCUCUGGGAUGCUCCAGGGAUGUGGAGCCACGCCACAGCCAUCACCUCGCUCCCCCCGAAGCUGCUUCCCGCAGGCGCGCCGCCGCAUCCCAGCACUACCUGUGCAGUCGCGUCCGCCUCCUUCCUACCGCCAAGGCAGCGUGCGGCCUAAAGCAUCAGAGCCCCAAAUCCCGGCUUCCAUAAAAAAAAUUCCGUGAGCGCAACCGCGGUGCCUGGGGGCUCCCCUGCCCCUUCCCUGCAGCCAGCACCCGGCGCGGUGCCUCCGAAACCUGCCCUCCGGGAUAGUGGGUGGCUUUAUUCAUUUUUUUUCCCCAAAUAUAGAAACUUUUGAGCUUC